UCUAUUCCCUCAUUUAUACCAGCAACUCUUUUAACAUGUGAACUGGAUCCUCCAGAAUUGGAAGCCUUUAAUGGCAAAGACUCAAAUCUUGGGUCUUUGGAGAGUGGGAGGCCCUGCGUGGUCUCCACCUUCCUUGUAUCACCAUCGGUUCUGAUCUAUUUGCUCUCUGUUCCCUUGUCAUAUGGCUCUUCUUUUGGUCCCUCAAAACCAAGGAUUUGUCUCAUCUUCUCCAGAGGAUCACAAUCCGGAAGGAUCACAAUCCAGGAGACCCAUCAUGUUUCCUGGUCCACAUCAGCUCUUCCAAGUAGCCUGCAUAUAAGUAGGUACUCAGCAAAUAAUUGAUGAACAAAGAAAAAUCUCACACGGAGUCCCACAUCUGGCUUCCAGUUGCAAGAUCUCUUUAUAUCAUCAGUUACCAGGAUCUGAUGCUGCCUCUCAGCCACAACUGAGGAGCAGAGAAUAAACAGAACCAUUAUUAAAAGCAGAGGAGGAAAGAUAGAUUGGAUACAGAGUGCAUGAAUACUCACAAAAUUCAAAGAAGCUACUAAAAUCAAAGUCACAAUACCAAAGUAAGAGGCAAUGACUUUGUCCUGAAGAAGGAAGAGGACGGUGUGCUAAGAACCCACCCAGUUUCCAGAUCUUCAAAGACCAGUUCUUUUGAAUUCAGGGUAUGAGAGUGUGGUGGCACACUGAG